UGGGCAACCUGCCCCUCUCUCUGGGAUAACCCCGGGAAAACCGGAGCUAAUACCGGAUACUCCGGCUGGAUCGCAUGGUCCGGCCGGGAAAGGUCCGCCGGAGAGGGAUGGGCCCGCGGCCUAUCAGCUUGUUGGCGAGGUAACGGCCUACCAAGGCGACGACGGGUAGCCGGCCUGAGAGGGUGAUCGGCCACACUGGAACUGAGACACGGUCCAGACUCCUACGGGAGGCA
rnacentral:rRNA from 1 species